rnacentral:rRNA from 1 species
UACGAAGGGGGCUAGCGUUGUUCGGAUUUACUGGGCGUAAAGCGCACGUAGGCGGAUCGUUAAGUCGGGGGUGAAAUCCCGAGGCUCAACCUCGGGUCUGCAGUCGAUACGGGCGGACUGGAGUACUGCAGGGGAGACUGGAAUUCCUGGUGUAGCGGUGAAAUGCGCAGAUAUCAGGAGGAACACCGGUGGCGAAGGCGGGUCUCUGGGCAGUAACUGACGCUGAGGAGCGAAAGCGUGGGGGAGCGAACAGG